UAUUAAGUCUCUUUCACGGCAGCGGUGUAGCAGCGGUAGCGCACGCGCGCGUCCUUCUGUCGGUGCGGGGUGCGAGUCACUGGGGUGUCGUCAGCUUGGCACGCUGAACCGAGAGGCUUGCUGUGCGAAGCUGCGCAUUUCCGCGAUGGCAAAAGCGACCCCACAGAAGUGGAAGGGGGGUAUCAAGUAUUGCUGUGUCGUGGGCUGCUACAACAAAACAGACAGAAACAAGGCACGCGAUCCACCCGUAAAACUGUAUCGGUUCCCGGGCCGGUGGUACGAUAAAGAAAGGCGAGAAGCGUGGAUCGCCGCAGUAAGGAGAAUCAAUCCAGACGGAACUUUGUGGGUGCCCAAAGAGUAUACAAGAAUUUGCAGCACUCAUUUUGUAGGCAACUGCAAGAGUGAUGUUCGCGGACAUCCAUCCUACAUCCCAACCAUCUUUCCACCUGUGUACAGAAAGAAGGCACCUGACCGGCAAAUGACACAAAGCACGAACAAGUCACAUCUUUUGGUGCAAGCGUGUGGUGCAGCAGAAGAAAGUCAUUGUGCUCCAAAGGAAGACGCGAUAUGCCAAACAGAGGAAUGUGUGACUCCAGGAAAACUAUCUAUAUUUCUCUCAGUGACAAAUGGCGCCGGGGCAUCUACUCAAGUUGUGCACACAGAAAUGAGUCACAAGGUUACAAGCACGGACGGAAAUUGGAAACGAAACUGUGGGUUUCGUGGCUUUGAGUCUCUCAAAGUAAAGGAAGAGGCACUGCAAGAUUUGUGUGGUGUGACAUUGUAAGUCUCCUGCCUUCUUUCGAAUGCUGCCUCCACCAAAGUACAGGUGUAAUGUGAUGUCAAGGGAAGAUAAAACUGUGCUUGUUCCUGGCCAAGCUGUGGCUUGGGAUAACAUACAGUGCCUUGGGAGCUAUAUUUGCCGUUAGAGCCGCAACAGCGUCAAAUGUGUUUAGGAAAACGCUUGGUAUUCUAAGCAUCGCUCCGAAGGACUCGGUCUUCAUGCCGUCCCGGGAAAUAACAAAGCUUUCUUUGCCUGUCCCAUUUAAAUAAAACUAUCCGAAUUGCACCGAGAUCCACACACAAACACCCUCAAAUCCUGAUUGCCGACACAUGCUGUAUUCACAUUACAAAGAAGGAUACACGCUGAAGGUCUUAAUAGCAUAAUUCCUAAUGGCAUGAUAAGUUUCACAUCCAAGAUGUACGGAGGACGACACGCUGACCCGUUCAUAACUCAAGAUUCUGGCUUCCUGCAGCUUGUCAAACCAGGGGAUUUAAUUUUAAGUGACAAAGGAUUUCCAACUAUCCGAACAACUGUAGAGGGGAGAGGCGCAGUGCUGCUCAUGCCUCCUUUUAAUUCAGCAGAUGGCCAGCUGUCUGCAGACGACAUGGAGAAGACAUAUUAGAUUGCUUCUGUGCGAAUCCAUGUUGAAGGAGUAAUCCAAAGGUUGAAGAUUUAUCACAUUCUAAAGAACAGAGUACUGGGCUAAGCCUGAUCCCAUAGAUGGACAAAGUGAUUUCAGUGUGUGCUGCCCUUGUGAAUAUGCAGGCACCAAUUAUUAAGAAGUAAGUGCUUUGCCUCAUGUGUGUGAUGUAAGUAAAUUGGUUUGUUUCCACGUAUUACAUUUCUGAUUAAAAGUCCUGCAAUUCUGUAGCACCAAAGUGGCUUGACAACUGCACUGUAGCUUAACCAAUAAAUGGCUACAUUAAUUACAGCAAACGCAUUUUAAACUAAAUUUUAUUUUGUGAUGAGGAGUUCAAUUGUCACUAUGUGUCCUUGAACUGCAGUUGCACGCUUUUGCCUCUUUAUUAAGCCAUACAAAGCAGCAAAAUGCUGAAAUGGAAGCAUUGAAUACAUGCCAUUGCAUGGCACUUGAAUGAUAUCACAGCAUUCAGCUCUUGUCUGUUGAACGUGAGCUAUGAAGUGCAGUGUUUGGUCCAUUGGCCAAUGCCAAAGUACAUUACACUAAAACAAAAAUU
rnacentral:misc_RNA from 1 species